AUUGAACGCUGGCGGCAUGCCUUACACAUGCAAGUCGAACGGCAGCACGGGUGCUUGCACCUGGUGGCGAGCGGCGAACGGGUGAGUAAUACAUCGGAACGUACCUUAUCGUGGGGGAUAACGCAGCGAAAGCUGUGCGAAUACCGCAUACGCCCUGAGGGGGAAAGCGGGGGAUCGCAAGACCUCGCGCGAUUAGAGCGGCCCAUGCCUGAUUAGCUUGUUGGUGGGGUAAAAGCCCACCAAGGCGACGAUCAGUAGCUGGUCUGAGAGGACGAUCAGCCACACUGGGACUGAGACACGGCCCAGACUCCUACGGGAGGCAGCAGUGGGGAAUGUUGGACAAUGGGGGCAACCCUGAUCCAGCAAUGCCGCGUGAGUGAAGAAGGCCUUCGGGUUGUAAAGCUCUUUUGUCAGGGAAGAAACACCGGCUCUAACACAGUCCGGGAAUGACGGUACCUGAAGAAUAAGCACCGGCUAACUACGUGCCAGCCGCCGCCGUAA
rnacentral:rRNA from 1 species